CACCGGCAGCUCAAGUGGUAGCCGCUUGGGGGGGGCCUAAAGCGUCCGUAGCCGGUCUGAUAAGUCUCUGGUGAAAUCCCACAGCUUAACUGUGGGAAUUGCUGGAGAUACUAUCAUGACUCGAGGUCGGGAGAGGCUGGAGGUACUCCCAGGGUAGGGGUGAAAUCCUGUAAUCCUGGGAGGACCACCUGUGGCGAAGGCGUCUAACUGGAACGAACCUGACGGUGAGGAACGAAAGCCAGGGG
rnacentral:rRNA from 1 species